rnacentral:rRNA from 1 species
AUUGAACGCUGGCGGCAGGCCUAACACAUGCAAGUCGAGCGAGUGGCGGACGGGUGAGUAAUGUCUGGGAAACUGCCUGAUGGAGGGGGAUAACUACUGGAAACGGUAGCUAAUACCGCAUACCAUCAGAUGUGCCCAGAUGGGAUUAGCUUGUAGGUGGGGUAACGGCUCACCUAGGCGCCGAUCCCUAGCUGGUCUGAGAGGAUGACCAGCCCCCCUGGAACUGAGACACGUGCCAGACUCCUACGGGAGGCAGCCUUUGGGACUAUUGCACAAUGGGCGCAAGCCUGAUGCAGCCAUGCCGCGGGUAUGAAGAAGGCCUUCGGGUUGUAAAGCACUUUCAGCGGGGAGGCGUUACCCGCAGAAGAAGCACCGGCUAACUCCGUGCCAGCAGCCGCGGUAAUUC